rnacentral:rRNA from 1 species
GACGGAGGAUGCAAGCGUUAUCCGGAAUGAUUGGGCGUAAGCGUCUGCAGGUGGCAGUUCAAGUCUGCUGUCAAAGACCGGGGCUUAACUUCGGAAAGGCAGUGGAAACUGAACAGCUAGAGUAUGGUAGGGGCAGAGGGAAUUCCUGGUGUAGCGGUGAAAUGCGUAGAGAUCAGGAAGAACAUCGGUGGCGAAGGCGCUCUGCUGGACCAUAACUGACACUCAGGGACGAAAGCUAGGGGAGCGAAUGGG